UGUGGGAGCGAGCCUGCUCGCGAUAGCGGUGUGUCAGUAAAUAAUUUCCAGCUGACACACCGCUAUCGCGAGCAGGCUCGCUCCCACA
rnacentral:misc_RNA from 1 species